UACGAGAGGCCCAAACAUUAUUCGGAAUUACUGGGCUUAAAGAGCGUGUAGGCGGCCAUGUAGGUCCGUUGUGAAAACUCGAGGCUCAACCUCGAGACGCCGAUGGAAACCAUGUGGCUAGAGUCCGGAAGAGGAGAGUGGAAUUCCUGGUGUAGCGGUGAAAUGCGCAGAUAUCAGGAAGAACACCCGUGGCUAAGGCGGCUCUCUAGUACGGUACUGACGCUGAGACGCGAAAGCGUGGGGAGCGAACAGG
rnacentral:rRNA from 1 species